UUGGAGGGCAAGUCUGGUGCCAGCAGCCGCGGUAAUUCCAGCUCCAAUAGCGUAUAUUAAAGUUGCUGCAGUUAAAAAGCUCGUAGUUGAAUUUCGGGACCAAUAUGUCGGUCGUGCCUCGGUACGUACUGGCAUCGUUGGUUUCUCCCUUCUGAAGAACCAUGAUGUCAUUCAUUUGGUGUCGUGGGGAAUCAGGACUGUUACUUUGAAAAAAUUAGAGUGUUUAAAGCAGGCUCACGCUUGAAUACAUUAGCAUGGAAUAAUGAAAUAGGACGUUUGAUUCUAUUUUGUUGGUUUCUAGGAUCGACGUAAUGAUUAAUAGGGAUAGUUGGGGGCAUUAGUAUUCAAUUGUCAGAGGUGAAAUUCUUGGAUUUAUUGAAGACUAACUACUGCGAAAGCAUUUGCCAAGGAUGUUUUCAUUAAUCAAGAACGAAAGUUAGGGGAUCGAAGACGAUCAGAUACCGUCGUAGUCUUAACCAUAAACUAUGCCGACUAGGGAUCGGAUGAUGUUAAUUUUUUAAUGACUCAUUCGGCGCCUUACGGGAAACCAAAGUGUUUGGGUUC
rnacentral:rRNA from 1 species